rfam:Oryza nivara chromosome 1, whole genome shotgun sequence.
AAUAAGUACAGCCAUGAGUUUCCACGCCCAAUUUUGAUCGUCCGUUUUAUUUAAAAUUUUUUUAUAAUUAGCAUUUUUAUUGUUAUAAGAUGAUACAACAUGACUUAUGUUUUUAAUUUUUUUAAAAAAAAUUUAAAUAAGACGAAUGGUUAAAGUUGGACGCUGAAAAUUAUGGCUGUACUUAUU